rnacentral:rRNA from 1 species
AGAGUUUGAUCCUGGCUCAGGAUGAACGCUGGCGGCGUGCCUAAUACAUGCAAGUCGAACGAGUUCUGAUUAUUGAAGGGUGCUUGCAUCUUGAUUUAAUUUUGAACGAGUGGCGGACGGGUGAGUAACACGUGGGUAACCUGCCCUUAAGUGGGGGAUAACAUUUGGAAACAGAUGCUAAUACCGCAUAAAUCCAAGAACCGCAUGGUUCUUGGCUGAAAGAUGGCGUAAGCUAUCGCUUUUGGAUGGACCCGCGGCGUAUUAGCUAGUUGGUGAGGUAACGGCUCACCAAGGCAAUGAUACGUAGCCGAACUGAGAGGUUGAUCGGCCACAUUGGGACUGAGACACGGCCCAAACUCCUACGGGAGGCAGCAGUAGGGAAUCUUCCACAAUGGACGCAAGUCUGAUGGAGCAACGCCGCGUGAGUGAAGAAGGCUUUCGGGUCGUAAAACUCUGUUGUUGGAGAAGAAUGGUCGGCAGAGUAACUGUUGUCGGCGUGACGGUAUCCAACCAGAAAGCCACGGCUAACUACGUGCCAGCAGCCGCGGUAAUACGUAGGUGGCAAGCGUUAUCCGGAUUUAUUGGGCGUAAAGCGAGCGCAGGCGGUUUUUUAAGUCUGAUGUGAAAGCCCUCGGCUUAACCGAGGAAGUGCAUCGGAAACUGGGAAACUUGAGUGCAGAAGAGGACAGUGGAACUCCAUGUGUAGCGGUGAAAUGCGUAGAUAUAUGGAAGAACACCAGUGGCGAAGGCGGCUGUCUGGCCUGUAACUGACGCUGAGGCUCGAAAGCAUGGGUAGCGAACAGGAUUAGAUACCCUGGUAGUCCAUGCCGUAAACGAUGAAUGCUAGGUGUUGGAGGGUUUCCGCCCUUCAGUGCCGCAGCUAACGCACUAAGCAUCCCACCUGGGGAGUACGCCGGCAACGGUGAAACUCAAAGGAAUUGACGGGGGCCCGCACAAGCGGAGGAACAUGUGGUUUAAUUCGAUGAUACGCGAGGAACCUCACCCGGGCUUGAAUUGCAGAGGAAGGAUUUGGAGACAAUGACGCCCUUCGGGGUCUCUGUGAAGGUGCUGCAUGGUUGUCGUCAGCUCGUGCCGUGAGGUGUCGGCUUAAGUGCCAUAACGAGCGCAACCCCUCUCCUUAGUUGCCAUCAGGUUAAGCUGGGCACUCUGGGGACACUGCCACCGUAAGGUGUGAGGAAGGUGGGGAUGACGUCAAAUCAGCACGGCCCUUACGUCCGGGGCUACACACGUGUUACAAUGGCAGGUACAGAGAGACGGUUGUACGUAAGUACGAUCAAAUCCUUAAAGCCUGUCUCAGUUCGGACUGGGGUCUGCAACCCGACCCCACGAAGCUGGAUUCGCUAGUAAUCGCGCAUCAGCCAUGGCGCGGUGAAUACGUUCCCGGGCCUUGUACACACCGCCCGUCAAGCCAUGAAAGCCGGGGGCGCCUAAAGUCCGUGACCGUAAGGAGCGGCCUAGGGCGAAACUGGUAAUUGGGGCUAAGUCGUAACAAGGUAGCCGUACUAGUAC